rnacentral:tRNA from 1 species
GGAAGAUGCUGCUAAAUGGAUGGCAACCAGUCUCGAAAGCUGGGGUACAGGUAAUACCUGUAAAGGUUCGAUUCCUUCAUCUUCGG